GAAAUGCGAUAAGUAAUGUGAAUUGCAGAAUUCAGCGAACCAUCGAAUCUUUGAACGCACAUUGCGCCCAUUAGUAUUCUAUUGGGCAUGCCUAUUCGAGCGUCAUUUCCACCCUCAGGCUUGCCUGGUGAUGGGGCUUUGUACCUACAAACCCUAAAAAAUAGUGGCGGGCGUGCUGAAAACCCGAGCGUAGUAAACUUUUCUCGCUAUGGGCUACAGUGCUGUCCCUGCCGUAAACCCCCCUCUAUAAUGACAAGGUUGACCUCGGAUUAGGUAGGAAUACCCGCUGAACUUAA
rnacentral:misc_RNA from 1 species